rnacentral:rRNA from 1 species
GCCCAGACUCCUACGGGAGGCAGCAGUGGGGGAUAUUGCACAAUGGGGGGAACCCUGAUGCAGCGACGCCGCGUGGGUGAGGAAGUACCCCGGUAUGUAAAGCCCUUUCGGCAGGGAAGAAAAUGACGGUACCUGGCGAAGAAGCCCCGGCUAACUACGUGCCAGCAGCCGCGGUAAUACGUAUGGUGCAAGCGUUAUCCGGAUUUACUGGGUGUAAAGGGAGCGCAGGCGGCACGGCAAGCCUGAUGUGAAAGCCCGCGGCCCAACCGCGGGACUGCAUUGGGAACUACCGGGCUGGAGUGCCGGAGAGGUAGGCGGAAUUCCUAGUGUAGCGGUGAAAUGCGUAGAUAUUAGGAGGAACACCAGUGGCGAAGGCGGCUUACUGGACUGUAACUGACGUUGAGGCUCGAAAGCGUGGGGAGCAAACAGGAUUAGAUACCCCUGUA